rnacentral:misc_RNA from 1 species
GAGAUUCCUAAGAUGAAGUUCAUAGUAAGGGUAUGUCCAAACAAUACAGCAGAUGCUAUUCCAGUGAAGAUAGUGGCCACAGUUGAUGAAUACUUCUUCAGAAUUGUAUCUGCGUACUUGAAGAAGAACGAAGACAGGAUUCCCUGAGCUGCAUUAUUGCAUAUUAAAAACAUUGUUGCUCGUGAGUGUCCCCGUAAGAUAUCAAAAUUGUCAGGUCCUUUGUAAAUGACAGUUCCAAGUAUGCCUAGGAAGUUGAAGAUUGCACCAUAUCCGUACAAAAACAAAUUCUGAAGAUAAAUGCUGGUCUCGAAUUGGCUUUUCAAAGCAUAUUCAUUGUAGACAGAUGCCAGUGAAGGAACAGUGACGAAAAUCAAGGUAUACAAAUAUGCCCCUGUUGUCACUGUAAGAUCCAAAGCUGAUGCACCUUCUGGUAGAGAGCGCAGCUGAUUCACACUGAUGCCAAUAAGCAAUAGCGCAAGAGCCUCCCACUGAAUUAUGGAAAAACGGC